rnacentral:rRNA from 1 species
AUUGAACGCUGGCGGCAGGCUUAACACAUGCAAGUCGAACGAGUGCCGGACGGGUGAGUAAUGUCUGGGAAACUGCCUGAUGGAUGGGGAUAACUACUGGAAACGGUAGCUAAUCCCGCAUACCAUCAGAUGUUCCCAGAUGGGAUUAGCUUGUUGGUGGGGUAACGGCUCACCUAGGCGACGAUCCCUAGCUGGUCUGAGAGGAUGACAAGCCACACUGGAACUUAGACGCGGUACAGACUCCUACGGGAGGCAGCAGUGGUGAAUAUUGCACAAUGGGCGCAAGCCUGAUGCAGACAUGCCGAGUGUAUGAAGAAGGCCUUAGGGUUGUAAAGUACUUUCAGCGAGGAGGCGUUACUCGCAGAAGAAGCACCGGCUAACUCCGUGCCAGCAGCCGCGGUAAUUC